CGCACAUUGCACCUCUUGGUAUUCCUUGAGGUAUACUUGUUCGAGCGCCGUUUUACUAUUAAGGUUUUCGCCUUGUGUUGACGGUAUUCAUUUCAGAGUCUGUCUAAAACUAUUUGGCGUCUGUUUUUAUAACCUUAAGUCAGAGUGAAAAUCUGCUAUUUGGAAAUAAAAUUAGAUGGCCUUGUUUCUGAAUUUCAUGGCCUCGGAUCAAGUAAGGUUACCCGCUGAACUUAA
rnacentral:misc_RNA from 1 species